rnacentral:rRNA from 1 species
AUUCCAGCUCCAAUAGCGUAUAUUAAAGUUGUUGCGGUUAAAAAGCUCGUAGUUGGAUUUCUGCUGAGGACGACCGGUCCGCCCUCUGGGUGAGUAUCUGGCUUGGCCUUGGCAUCUUCUUGGAGAACGUAGCUGCACUUGACUGUGUGGUGCGGUAUCCAGGACUUUUACUUUGAGGAAAUUAGAGUGUUUCAAGCAGGCACACGCCUUGAAUACAUUAGCAUGGAAUAAUAAGAUAGGACCUUGGUUCUAUUUUGUUGGUUUCUAGAGCUGAGGCAAUGAUUAAUAGGGACAGUUGGGGACAUUCGUAUUGCAUGGCUAGAGGUGAAAUUCUUGGAUUCAUGCAAGAUGAACUACUGCGAAAGCAUUUGUCAAAGAUGUUUUCAUUA